rnacentral:rRNA from 1 species
GACGAACGCUGGCGGCGUGCCUAAUACAUGCGAGUCGAGCGAAGUUUUUCUGGUGCUUGCACUAGAAAAACUUAGCGGCGAACGGGUGAGUAACACGUAAAGAACCUGCCUCAUAGACUGGGACAACUAUUGGAAACGAUAGCUAAUACCGGAUAACAGUAUUUCUCGCAUGAGAGAUAUUUAAAAGUUGGUUAUGCUAACACUAUGAGAUGGCUUUGCGGUGCAUUAGCUAGUUGGUGGGGUAAAGGCCCACCAAGGCGACGAUGCAUAGCCGACCUGAGAGGGUGAUCGGCCACACUGGGACUGAGACACGGCCCAGACUCCUACGGGAGGCAGCAGUAGGGAAUCUUCCGCAAUGGGCGAAAGCCUGACGGAGCAACGCCGCGUGAGUGAAGAAGGAUUUCGGUUCGUAAAGCUCUGUUGUUAGGGAAGAAUGGGUAUGUAGUAACUAUACAUGUAAGAGACGGUACCUAACCAGAAAGCCACGGCUAACUACGUG